rnacentral:misc_RNA from 1 species
UAACUGCGUGCAGACGUGUGAACUGCAGGACACAUGAACACCGACGUUUUGAACGCAUAUGGCGGUCUGAAAUAACUUUCAGACCAUGUCUGGCUGAGGGUCGGAUAUAAAACAAAAACCAAAGUUGGCAUUGUUUGCCCUAAAAUUCGUCAAUGCUAGCAACAUCCUGUAUGGUAUGUUGUAGCUUGAUGAGAUCAAUCAUUUUGUGGUUAUGAUAACAUAGGCAUACCCGAUUUGAAAUAAAAAUCAAAGUAUGGCUCAUAACCACAUAAAAUAAAGAAAUCUCAUGUUACGUGAGAUUAUAUUUUUGCGACCUCAGAGUAGGCAAGAUUACCCGCUAAAUUUAA